CUAUGGAGGUGUGGUGCAGAUCAGGGUGUCAGAUGUUGUGGUUGAGGACGACCCAAAUGCUGAAAUUCUGCAUUGGUUGGAUUGCAUGAGCUUUUCUCUUUGGGGGUGUUAUGUGGAAUUGAUUCUUUAUGCGUGAAGGAUCAGUUUUGAGAGAAUGUUAUAGGGAUUUGUAGUUCCAAGAGGAUGCGCGGAGGAUGAACAGUGAAAAAGUCAGAAACAAACAAGUCAAUGUUGGUUGGAAACUGGAAAGAAUGGCUUAUGAACACAGAUGAAAGGUAAAUUCAAACUGCAAAUUUGAAACCUCUCCGCUUUUGACCUCUGUCGUCAAUGCAAAAUUCCAUGUCAUUUUCUGCUCUCUGUUGUAACCUAGGAACAUGGUCGCCUCCUAUUGUUUCUCUUUUAUUUCUAAGCUAUUCAUUCAUCUGGUUCCCUGAAUAAAGAGAAUUUUUUCUGAUU